rnacentral:rRNA from 1 species
CCUACGUGUGGCAGCAGUGGGGAAUAUUGCGCAAUGGGCGAAAGCCUGACGCAGCGACGCCGCGUGAGGGAUGAAGGUCUUCGGAUCGUAAACCUCUGUCAGCAGGGAAGAACGGUCACUGUGCUAAUCAGCAGUGAAUUGACGGUACCUGCACAGGAAGCACCGGCUAACUCCGUGCCAGCAGCCGCGGUAAUACGGAGGGUGCGAGCGUUAAUCGGAAUUACUGGGCGUAAAGCGCUCGUAGGCGGUAUGUCAAGUCAAGGGUGAAAUCCCCGCGCUCAACGUGGGAACUGCCUUUGAAACUGGCAAACUGGAGUGUGUGAGAGGAUAGUGGAAUUCCAGGGGUAGGAGUGAAAUCCGUAGAUAUCUGGAGGAACAUCAGUGGCGAAGGCGACUAUCUGGCACAUAACUGACGCUGAGGCACGAAAGCGUGGGGAGCAAAUAGGAUUAGAUACCCUGGUAGUC